CCUACGGGUGGCAGCAGUGGGGAAUAUUGGACAAUGGGCGAAAGCCUGAUCCAGCCAUGCCGCGUGUGUGAAGAAGGCCUUCGGGUUGUAAAGCACUUUCAGUGGGGAAGAAAGCCUUGGGGCUAAUACCCUAGAGGAAGGACAUCACCCACAGAAGAAGCACCGGCUAACUCCGUGCCAGCAGCCGCGGUAAUACGGAGGGUGCGAGCGUUAAUCGGAAUUACUGGGCGUAAAGCGCGCGUAGGCGGUCUGAUAAGCCGGUUGUGAAAGCCCCGGGCUCAACCUGGGAACGGCAUCCGGAACUGUCAGGCUAGAGUGCAGGAGAGGAAGGUAGAAUUCCCGGUGUAGCGGUGAAAUGCGUAGAGAUCGGGAGGAAUACCAGUGGCGAAGGCGGCCUUCUGGACUGACACUGACGCUGAGGUGCGAAAGCGUGGGUAGCAAACAGGAUUAGAUACCCCUGUAGUC
rnacentral:rRNA from 1 species